UUGGGAAUAUUGGACAAUGGGGGGAACCCUGAUCCAGCAAUGCCGCGUGGGUGAUGAAGGCCUUCGGGUUGUAAAGCCCUUUUGGCGGGGACGAUGAUGACGGUACCCGCAGAAUAAGCCCCGGCUAACUUCGUGCCAGCAGCCGCGGUAAUACGAAGGGGGCUAGCGUUGUUCGGAAUUACUGGGCGUAAAGGGCGCGUAGGCGGCCGUGCAAGUCAGAUGUGAAAGCCCUGGGCUCAACCCAGGAGGUGCAUUUGAUACUGCAUGGCUAGAGUGUCGGAGAGGAUGGUGGAAUUCCCAGUGUAGAGGUGAAAUUCGUAGAUAUUGGGAAGAACACCGGUGGCGAAGGCGACCAUCUGGACGACAACUGACGCUGAGGCGCGAAAGCGUGGGGAGCAAACAGGAUUAGAUACCCUGGUAGUCCACGCCGUAAACUAUGCGUGUUGGACGUUGGCGAGCCUAGCUCGUCGGUGUCGCAGCUAACGCGUUAAACACGCCGCCUGGGGAGUACGGCCGCAAGGUUA
rnacentral:rRNA from 1 species